AGAAAUCUGCAUUACAUUGUUAAAUGGAUGGAAUAAAUACAAUUAGAAAUAUACAUAUAGCAUUUUCUAACAAUAUCAGUUUCAAAUUUGUGUACAAUAU